rnacentral:rRNA from 1 species
CUGCUGCCUUCCGUAGGAGUCUGGUCCGUGUCUCAGUACCAGUGUGGGGGACCUUCCUCUCAGAACCCCUACGCAUCGUCGGUUAGGUGGGCCGUUACCCCGCCUACUGCCUAAUGCGCCGCAUGCCCAUCCCUGUCCGGCCGAAGCCUUUCCUGCCUCCGGGAUGCCCCGGUGGCAUGUACGCGGGUUUAGCCCGCCUUUCGGCGGGUUGUCCCCCUGACGGGGGCAGGUUGCAUACGUGUUACUCACCCGUGCGCCGGUCGCCGGCGGAGAAAG